UACAGGGGGUGCAAACGUUGCUCGGAAUCAUUGGGCGUAAAGCGCACGUAGGCGGUUCGUUAUGUCGGAUGUGAAAGCCCUUGGCUUAACCGAGGAAGUGCAUCCGAAACUGGCGAGCUAGAGUACGAAAGAGGAUCGCGGAAUUCCCGGUGUAGAGGUGAAAUUCGUAGAUAUCGGGAGGAACACCGGUGGCGAAGGCGGCGAUCUGGGUCGAUACUGACGCUGAGGUGCGAAAGCGUGGGUAGCAAACAGG
rnacentral:rRNA from 1 species